ensembl:lncRNA
GGGGAUAUGGGAAUAUGGGAUAUGGGGAUAUGGGGACACUGGGGCCAAUGGGGCCAAUGGGGACAUUGGGGUCAAUGGGGAUACGGGAUAUGGGGAUAUGGGGACAUUGGGGCCAAUGGGGAUAUGGGAUAUGGGGAUAUGGGGAUAUGAGGACAUCGGGGUCAAUGGGUUCAAUGGGUUCAAUGGGGACAUUGGGGAUAUGGGAUAUGGGGGUCAAUGGGGUCAAUGGGGAUAUGGGACAUUGGGGAUAUGGGGACAUUGGGGUCAAUGAGGUCAAUGGGUUCAAUGGGGACAUUGGGGAUAUGGGGACAUUGGGGUCAUUGGGGCCAAUGGGGAUAUGGGGUCAAUGGUGCCAACGGUGCAGUGCGCCGCCGUGGCCACGCGGUGGCGCUGUCCCCCCUCAGGGCGGCGCACAGCGGUGACGGCGCAGCGCUUCGGGGCCGACGUGGGGCAGCUGCGGC